rnacentral:rRNA from 1 species
UUGCCUCAGUAACGGCGUAGUGAAGCGGCAACAGCUCAAAUUUGAAAUCUGGCCUCUUGGGGUCCGUGUUGUAAUUUGUAGAGGAUGUUUCGGGUACCGCCUCGGUUUAAAUUUCUUGGAACAGAAUGUCAGUGAGGGUGAGAAUCCCGUCUUGAACCGGUGGUAGGGCCUAUGUGAAACUCCUUCGACGAGUCGAGUUGUUUGGGAAUGCAGCUCCAAAUGGGUGGUAAAUUUCAUCUAAAGCUAAAUAUUGGCCAGAGACCGAUAGCGCACAAGUAGAGUGAUCGAAAGAUGAAAAGCACUUUGAAAAGAGAGUUAAACAGUAUGUGAAAUUGUUGAAAGGGAAGCGCUUACAACCAGACUUGAGCGCGGCGGUUCCCCCUUGCUUCUGCUUGGGUUACUCCGCCGUGUCCAGGCCAACAUCGGUUCUGGGGGUCGGUCAAAGGCCCUGGGAAUGUAUCUACCUACGGGUAGACUUAUAGACCAGGGUGUCAUGCGGCCUCCCGGGACCGAGGAACGCGCUCCGGCUCGGAUGUUGGCGUAAUGGUUGUCAGCGACCCGUCUUGAAACACGGACCAAGGAGUCUAACAUCUAUGCGAGUGUUUGGGUGUCAAACCCGGAACGCGAAAUGAAAGUGAACGGAGGUAGGAAGCUUCGGCUGCACUAUCGACCGAUCCUGAAGUUUACGGAUGGAUUUGAGUAAGAGCAUAGCUGUUGGGACCCGAAAGAUGGUGAACUAUGCCUGAAUAGGGUGAAGCCAGAGGAAACUCUGGUGGAGGCUCGCAGCGGUUCUGACGUGCAAAUCGAUCGUCAAAUUUGGGGUAUAGGGGCGAAAGACUAAUCGAACCAUUAAGGACAGCCACUCGGUGGUUAAGUGUGGCCCUGAAAGGGGUGUGCAAGUGCCAGAUUCUGGCGCGACACUGUCAAAUUGCGGGGGACUCCCUAAAGCUCCAGGGACCGCCUGGCCCGUGAAAGCGGGCUCGGGCACCGGGGUUAACGACCCCGGGUAUGGUAACACCACUGGAGAUGCAAACAAUGGGUAAUCUGCAGCCAAGUCCUAAGGGCAUUCAUGUCUAGGGAUGCAGUUCACAGACUAAAUGGCAGUGGGCUCGGUCACGCGAGCUUAAGACAUAGUCGGUCCCCCGGGGAGACCCGGGCGCAUACGCUAAAUCUGGGGUAAAGAAUCCUGCUCUGCAGUUACCCCUGACCUGAACGGUGCGGGCACCUAGAGCCAUUGCCCAGG